rnacentral:rRNA from 1 species
GAUGAACGCUAGCUACAGGCUUAACACAUGCAAGUCGAGGGGCAGCAUGGUCUUAGCUUGCUAAGGCCGAUGGCGACCGGCGCACGGGUGAGUAACACGUAUCCAACCUGCCGUCUACUCUUGGACAGCCUUCUGAAAGGAAGAUUAAUACAAGAUGGCAUCAUGAGUCCGCAUGUUCACAUGAUUAAAGGUAUUCCGGUAGACGAUGGGGAUGCGUUCCAUUAGAUAGUAGGCGGGGUAACGGCCCACCUAGUCUUCGAUGGAUAGGGGUUCUGAGAGGAAGGUCCCCCACAUUGGAACUGAGACACGGUCCAAACUCCUACGGGAGCAGCAGUGAGGAAUAUUGGUCAAUGGGCGAGAGCCUGAACCAGCCAAGUAGCGUGAAGGAUGACUGCCCUAUGGGUUGUAAACUUCUUUUAUAAAGGAAUAAAGUCGGGUAUGGAUACCCGUUUGCAUGUACUUUAUGAAUAAGGAUCGGCUAACUCCGUGCCAG